AUGAGUAAUUUUAGCGAAGAGGGUGAAAAAGGGAGAGGACGGUGAUGUGUUGAAGGAUUCGAAGCCUCAUUAAGUUGUGUUGUACGUAUCUGAUAAAACGAAGUUAAGGUUGUCGGGACUAUUUUCUUCGCAAGUUAUCUGUGAGAGGACGUCAUGCUUCACAUAUAACGCUUAAGUUAUCGAGUGGACGCCGGGCACCAUUAUCACUUCCACAAAUCCAAGCAAGACACUGUUACCUAUAUUUAACCCUCCCUAACCCUCUCUCGUUUUCCCUCCCUACCCUGUCACCCCAAAAAGAGGAAAGGGUUGUGAUUCGGUUUUUAUUCUUCUCCGCGAGUGAACUUAUCAGUGCAACUGCGAAUGAACUGUAGUGACGUGUAAAAGCAGACCGCUGGUGAUGUGAAACUGUUCGGGAUUCUGAAAACAGAAGCUUGCUGACUUCAAAACGGAGAAUUUUCCUACACGUUCUAUAUUGUACAAAGUAAUGCGAGAAUGGGGCACGAAAUUCAGCGAGAUAUAUGUAAGGGAGGACGGAAUUUGAUAAUGCAAGAUCGUUACGUCAUCGUCGGCAGCAAUGUCUGGUUUCACACCUGCACAGUAAACGAGGAGAUCGUCCCAUCGGACAAGAAUCCUACGUAGCGUCGUCUUCACCUUAGUUCAAUUCUAUCCAUAUUAUAAAUCGCGUAUCCAAAAUGCCAUAGAUAAACUACAAAUAUUUGGUUUUUGUUUUAAUAUCUCCCGUGUGUGAUUGAUAUUUUAUUUUUAUUUAUGUGUGAGUGCGCGGUUAAUGCUUUUGGAAAGAAGUGUGUAUAUAAAAUAGCUGGAGUAAUAUUCAGCAAUGUAUUAAUUAAUAAGAGAUUUCGGUUAUCAGGUUAGACCGAACCGAGCUGAACAAAAGAGAAAGAGCUACACCGAAGGAGAGAGAGAAAGACGGAACGAGAGAGAGAAAGGAAAUUUAAAAAAGAGGCUCGGAUAGAAACAAAAUGGUGGCCGUCGGGUGGCUAUGUGUAACAGAUUCGCAUCGCAGCAAUGGUGGAUCCAUUUCACCACGAAAGUGUCCAAUUAUUCUUCCUGCCCAAUGCUGUUGGAAGCAACAAGCGUUCUCAGGAUAAGAAAAUAGCCUCGGUGCAGCGGGAAAUCAUCCUUCGACUCACCGUCUCUUUCAUAGUCGGAAUUACUAGUGUAAGCCACUGUCGUCACUACACGAUGGCGGAUUUACCGGAUAUGUCACACCUCACAGCCGAGGAAAGACGCAUAAUCGAGUCUGUCAUGAUGAGGCAGAAACAAGAAGAGGAACGGGAACACGAAAUCAUGAGGCGGAAACAAGACGAAGUCCAGGUCCUGGAGGACACAAUACGGCAGAGAAGCGAGCAGCAGAAGAAAGCGGGCGUGGAGCUGGAUGCCACGUGCCACAUCUGCCUCAAGACGAAGUUCGCGGACGGAGUGGGGCAUAUCUGCAACUACUGCAACAUCCGUUGCUGUGCUCGAUGCGGCGGGAAAGUCCCCCUUCGCUCAAACAAGGUAAUAUGGGUGUGUAUUCUCUGCCGAAAGAAACAGGAACUCUUAAGUAAAACGGGUCAAUGGAUCAACAAAGGAAUGGCCGCCGGCGACGCCAUCAUGCACCAAAUAGAGGCAGAUCUUCAUCAGAGGCCAGAAGAUAUUACACCCACGCUUACGACGCCAACAGACAAGCGUCCGAAACUCGAGAGAGCUCACAGCGCUGCGGAAAAAGAGAACGUGCCGUUAGUGCGUUCAGGAAGCGUACUUACUCGUCAGUAUUCGCAACAAGACCAGGCAACGAUGUCGGGACGUCGAAUGUCAGCGAGUGACAGUGGCGUGGACGUCAUCUCACCUUCUCAGAGACAUACAGGCAGAGUCAGAGAACCAUCUGUGGAUCGUGGACAAAGUUUUCAACAGCUGUACCACGAAGAUGACCCUAGAUACUAUCGUAGUGAACUGGAGGAUCUGAUGCGGAGUCAACAACUUCAACAUCUUCACGGUUCUGGGAUUUACGGGAGUGAAAUCGUUCAUAGAGGCAGUGGUAGUGGUGGUGUAAGUGCUGGUAGUGGUUUUAGGAACGAUUCUUUAAGCUCGGAACAGUCUUCUUCCAUGGAUAUGACGUCAUGUCCGCCCACUGCAGCAAUGCGUGGAAAUAGUGGUGCGCCGAUGAUGAUGGUGCCAGGAGGAAAUAAUAAGAAACACAGGAGAAGCGGUUCUGGUAAGAAGACGCAUGCGCACCAUCCGUCUUCCACCGCUUCGCAGCAAUCUCAGCAACAAUUGGUGACUUCUUCGAGACACCAUCAGCAGUCACAGCAUCAACAAUCCUUCUCGAGCUCUGACGAUGAGCUGAGAUCGACCCCCGAGUGCACCAGCUGCGAAGAACACGACAGCGACAAGGACAUUUAUGACAGUGGUCGGCGAGACAAGCCCAGUGUUCUGGUGACUUCUCCAGGUUCACCAGACUUUCACAUUCCAGUCCGCUCAGCUUGUCCACCUAGGUUGGGCUCUUCACCUACUAACUCCAAUGUAGGAGGUCGGUUACAGGUGAAGCUGUGGUUCGAUUCAGUAGCACUUGAGCUGGUUGUGACAGUUGCCAGUGCAGCUGGGCUCACCCCUAGGAAUAAUGGUCAGCCUCGCAACCCAUAUGCCAAACUCUUCCUGCUGCCUGAUCGGAGUGAGAAGUCCAAGAGGCGGACAAAAACACUAGCCAACACCAACGACCCCAAGUGGAAUCAAAAAUUCAUCUACUCAUCAAUUCGUCGGGCCGAUUUGAAGCUUCGGGUAUUGGAAGUGACAGUGUGGGACUAUGUCCGUUAUGGGGCCAAUGAUUUUCUUGGAGAGGUCGUAAUGGAACUGAGUGAAACACCUCUUGACGAGGAACCUGUUUGGUACUACCUUAGUGCUCACGAAGAAAUACUGACACAUUCACAUGCUCGGCAUGGCGAUGUUGAUCCUACGGAUAUGGAAUUGGCCUUGACUCCAACAGAUCAUUUAUCACCUCCAAGCACUACAUCAAGGUUAUCUGAUUCGGAUACAUCUGAGUGUGAUUUGGAGGAUGGACUGAGUGGUGUUGGGGUUAGAGAACAUCGAAUUGCUGAUGGAGCAUCCAUCAGUAGUGUUGGUAGUUCAUCCAGUCCACCACCUGAAGUUGAGAUGCAAGAAAUUCGGAGAUCUCGUCGUGACAUGUCACCACAAGGAAGGAAACGAGCAGCUGUUAUGAUGAGUCGUGAUAAGAUAGUCAGUUAUCAACCUCAGAGGAAGAAUGGAGGUCAGGGUAUGAUGGGUCAACGUUCACAUUCUGCAGCUCCUACAGAUUCUCCAAGUCUCCAUUCUAGGAGCAGAUCAAAAAGCCCACGUCGGAUGGGAGACCAUCGUAGCCUGUCACCACCGGAGGGUAGAAUGCAUCUCCAUGGUCAGUCUAUUCCUUCACAUGCUUAUGUUCCACGUUUCUCCCGCUCAGCGACUGCCACACCUACUGGUUCACCCAAGAAACGCCAGCUUCCACAGAUACCACAUGCACUGCAAAAAGUACUUAAAGAGCGUGUUACUCAGGAUCUGGAGGAUCGAGCACGUAUGAUGAAGCAAAGAAUGCAGAUGAUGCAAGGGACACGAAGCUCUGGAAUGUGGCGGUGUGACCGAAACUACAGUGGUCGGAGUGAUAGUGACCUGCCUUCACGUAGUACCAUGCAUUGUGCUGAUCAGAAAAUAAGGCUUCCUCAUUCACUCUCACCUGACAAAGAUGUGAUGGGUGACUUUGGUGACAGUGAUAUUGAAAGUGUUGUAAGCAUCACGAGCAGUGCCUUCUCCACCCAGUCAGAGCGUCCACUUGGGUCCAUAGGGCUUAGUGACUAUGGUAGUAGCAGUGGAGGUGGAGGGGGACAGCACAUGGCAAUCCAUCACAGUGGGGCACAAGGGGCCAACAGUAGUUCAGGGAGCAAGAGGAACAUCUUCACCCGUAGUCUGUCAAAUGCAGAUGUUCCCCCAGAUGAGAAAGCUGAUGGCAGCCUGAGUGACACAGCUGUGGGACAUCAUCAUGGGAUGGAUGGGUCGCGACAAAAGAUGUCAGGGAGCGGUGAGAGGAGCAGGAAACCUACUGGAGGUGGUGGAAGUAUUAGUGGCCCGUUCAUAGGUUUGGGCAAGAAAAGUAGUUCUACUUCCCAGCUCUCGGCUACAGAAGGUGGCACUAGAAACCGUAGCUCCCCUAGCAGCAAGAGUAUUCAGCGGUCACAAGAAGUGGUUCCACCACUGCGAUGCCACAACCACCCCUUCGUUGCACCCUCCUCAAGCCACCGCCUACCCUCUAAACACUCCACCACUGGUGAGGUUGGUGCAAGCAGUCUCAACAGCAUUUCUAGUUCAGAGGGAUCCACGUGGUCUCCAUCACUACGUUUAGCCCAGGAUGGUGGGCAGCUGUCAGAUUUUAUAGAUGGACUGGGUCCAGGUCAACUCGUGGGUCGACAGGUUCUAGGUGCACCUGCACUUGGUGACAUUCAGCUCAGCAUGUGCUACCAGAAAGGUUACCUUGAGGUAGAAGUCAUACGAGCUCGUGGCCUUCAAGCACGGCAAGGCUCUAAAGUAUUGCCAGCACCAUAUGUGAAGGUAUACCUGGUGAGUGGGAAGAAGUGCAUAGCAAAAGCAAAGACUGCAACAGCAAGAAGAACACUGGAUCCAUUGUACCAACAGCAGUUAGCUUUCAGAGAACCAUUUCAAAGCUGCAUAUUACAGGUGACAGUGUGGGGUGAUUAUGGUCGCAUUGAGGGCAAGAAAGUCUUCAUGGGUGUUGCUCAGAUUAUGUUGGAUGACCUGAACCUCUCCAACAUUGUGAUUGGCUGGUACAAGUUGUUCGGAACGACCUCAUUGGUUAGUGGGCCUCCCUCGCUCGGCCUGUCUCGACGCAGCUCUCUGGCUAGCCUAGACUCCCUCACCAGUCACUAGCCUAGAUCAUCACUUCUAAUCUACUGAUACUUCUACUUCUACUGCAGUAAUCCACACCACCUUUCCUCACAACCAACCACCUCUACCACCAUCACCACCUACACACCUGCACUUACUAGCAAAUUGCCUGACUGAGAACUUAUCAUCCAUCGCCUGCUCUCGAUGAAGCCGUCACUUGCUAAUCAUGAGAACAUGAGUCUGGGGAGUGUGAAGCUAACAACAAUGGCAGCAAUGAUGACAACAACAAUGAAGUUAUCACCACCUCAUGAGAUAUGCUCCCUCAAGCAAGCAUCACUACUGCAAGCCUAGAUGUUGGUCUCCAGUUCUCCCCUUAUAACAAGAGAAAGCAGCUCUUGGCUUCCCAGCUGCAAACAUCAUCAUGCACUAGGAGUUGAAAGAGGCCCAUGAAUGUUGAUGGUGAACAGUAUCACUGGUACUGCUACCAUAUUGGUCAAGUCUCUUGAAAAGUUUUACUUCUGCAGUGACAUAUGUAUAGAAUAAAAAAAUUGUGCUACCAAGUUCAAUGAAAUAGGAGACAUAAGUAAAAGCCCAUCUUGUUUAAAAUUGAACAGUACUUUGUGUGUUUGUGCUUCGUGCAGUGAUAGACUUUGUACAUAUUACAUAGAGAAAAGGUCUCACAUUUAAAAACAAACAACCAAAUGAAAACAUGUGUUUAAAAUUCACGCCUUCCACAAAUUUCUGUGAAUAUAUAUAUCAUAUAACAUACAAUAACAAUUAAGAAAGAAGAAAAACUCUUUGAUUAUUAAAAAUAAAAUUUAAAAAUACCAAUUAUAUCAAUCAAACAGCUGUGAGGAUGAUGUAUGGAGAAUGAUAAAAAUUUUGAGUGCCUGAGAAAUGUGAAUUAGGUUCAGGAUGUUCAAAGAUACCUGUUAGGUUUUUGUUUGAAAAUUACAAGAAAAACUGAUAAAUUUGAACAUUCCAUUUCUUCUUUGGCAUCUAAACAUUAUUAAAGACAGCAGAGACAACUGCAUAAUCUUUAGUGCAGGAAAUUUCAGAUUAUAAGUUCAGGAUCAACAUUUAGAACUACCUUCUAAUGUUGAUGCCACAUGCAUAUAAAAACUCAUUUAUGUGGAGGUGCAAAAAUACAUUUUAAAACUUUAAAACUGAUUCGGUGUCAAAAAAUAUUACUUUUCUAAAAAAACAUAAAUGUUUGGGAAAGAAGGUUGAAGCUAAUUUUAAAAUUCCAUCAAAGAAAUCUGAAAUUUCACAUGCUUUGAAUUGUACAGUAAAGAAUGUUCAAGAAGUGGCUGCUAUAUUUGUAUAAGUUUUUCCUGUAAUUCACAAAUGAAUUCCAGAUAGAAAGUACAUAAAACUUUUUUAUUAUACCUUUCUUUGUUUAAAAUUUUGGCAAGAUGAAAAGCAAACUAAACAGCCAACAUUUCAUGGGCUGAAUAGUUAAAUUAUAAAUUACAGUAAUUAUUAUUGUUUGAUUUCUAAUCACCAAAAACCUUCUAAUUUUUUAACUGCCAGUCAUGGAAACAAUUGACAAUGGAAAAGUGUGAGUGCUCAUAAAACUAUCAUAAUUGGCCAAGUAAUAGGAACUUGCAGCUGCCUACCCCACAAACACCACCCUAAAAUGUACUCUGUAGCAGUUAGCAGUAAUAGAUGAUUUUUUAAUAUACAGUACAUACAUAAAUAUAUAAAUUGAAUCCCUACCACCACCUCAGGUUAAAGUGGAUAUGCAUACAAAAGGAAAUAGUAUUAUUAUUUCAUGGUUUCCUUUACCUUUUGUUUUUGUAUGUUUUAUUGGUAGAACAGAAUUGAUUUUUAAGAUAAAAUCUGAUGAAACCAUGUCAACUUGACUUGUAGAUAGCCUUUUCUAAGUGAGUAUGGUGUUAGGCUCAUUGCAUUAAAUACUGUGGAACUUGUGAUUUAAAUCUAUUUUGAAUUAACAUAUGAAAUAAUUAUUAUUUAAUGAAAUGGUUUUAUUUUUUGGUGUGAAAUUUUCAAUAAAGUGGCCACAAUUUUAAAUGUUAAACAUUAUGUGGAUGAGUUGUAUGUUAACACAGUGAAGACUCAAGCUGCAUUCAGUUCUAAAAGAGGUUUUCCACCCAAAAUGAUGGGCCAUUUAAUGUUACUAAAUGCUGACACUAUAUUUAGAAGUUCUUUCAAGUAAUUUAUUAUAUAAAUUAUUCUUUUGUAAGAAAUAAAUCACUGGAAAUACUGAAAAUUUAAAAUUAAGAUACCUAUAACUUUUCCUCUUGUGGGUAGAGGAUUUGUCUUUCAUAAAGGUGAAAAGAGAAUCACUCUCAACACUUUAACAAAAUGAAACUGAACCCAUGAACUUGUUACAAGUUGAAGUGAGAGAAUGACACAGAGAGAAAGAGAGAGAGAUGAACUAAACCUAAGACUUCUACCCUCAUAUCUACUGCCUUUCUUUGGUAUUGUCAGCUUUAAAAUAAUUGUAGUUAGAAAACAAAAAAGAAAGAAAAUUGGUGCUUCAGUCUUGUAUUGUAGUCUUAUAAACCAUUUAGGUAUUAAACCUUGAGACAUGCUAUUUCACCUUCAAUGAAUGAAAUCAUUCAGGCUAGCUGCCUCUGAUGUUAUAUAUUUCCUAGGGGUCAUGUAUUACUAGUUAGCACAACUGUCUGUAUGAAAAGAUCUCCUGCUACAUAUUAGGGGCAUAUAAAAAACUGUUUUGUAAGUUAUCUUAUUACAUUCAAAUUUUCUAUCAUUUUGUAUGUUUAAUCAGUGUUAUCGUAUAUCUGACUAUGAAAAAAAUGUAUAGCUUUUCCAGACUAAGAGAAAUUUAAGAAUAGAGUGUAAAUAAUAGUAUAUAUUCAGACCCAGUCACAUUGGUGUAAAAGAAAGAUUCAUAAGGGACCACUGGAUCAUUAUUAUUUCACUUUUUCUUUGGAAACUUAGAACAUUUUGUUGUCUUGGAAAUGUCUUUUGCAUAAUACCCUAUUAGGUGACUUCAUGUUUUGUACUAAUCCUAAAAUAAAUUACUGUAGAAUCUAUAUGUGCAGCAUGAAUAUAUUUCCUUUGUUAUAACAUGAAUAUAAAUCAGAGUGUAUGAUUUAACUUGCUAUAUUUCUGUGCAGUGGUUGUGUGCAAAGUCAGGGUGAAAUUUUCCGGACACCUACAAGAGUAUGAGUGGUCUAUAGUCUAGAAUCAGUCAAAGUGAAUUUAUUCUGCUGGUAUGGUCCUGUCAGUACUGGUAAGAGAACUAGAUUGUGGGACAGUUCCUAUAAUAUGGUUUUAUUACCAGUACUUGAGUUGUAUCAAGUUGUUAUCACUCACAUUCAAUACGGUAAAUACAGUUUCAUGGUGGUUGGACAAUGCCAGUAGAAUAUUGUGAUUUUGUUGGACCUUUAUAUUUGUAAUAAGUAUGAGACAGUUGUGCAAACUUGAUGCAUUGAUUCUUUAUACUGCAAUAUGGGAUGCAAUGCAACUGGAGACUCCUAGCUUCAUAUAACACUUUUGCUUGCACACAUGUAAAAAGAAAGUUAAAUGCCUAUAGCUUAUUACACCUUGCUUGUUCUUGGUGACUCUGACAAUAACGUGAAUGAUGAAUGAAUAUUAUUAAAAAGCCCAAAAAAAUAAAUAAAUAAAUAAAAAUAAAAAUAGAAAAAAGAGAAAAAAGAAAAACUGUCACAUUUUGUGCUGUGAUCAUUGUAGACAUAUUUCAUUCACCCCUGCAAGUAAAUGAAGUAACAGGUGGGACAUUUUUGUUCUUUUUUUUAGGACUCUUCAGCCACAAAACUGAAGGGGAAAGGACCAUAUCACAUACUAAAUAUAACAUAGUGAUGUAUAGUGUUUAAUUUUUUUUAAUCAUGGGAAAUGACAGGGAUGAACAGUUGACCUUUUUCCCCCAUCAGAUAAACUCUGGUAGACUCACAGUCAUAAAGAGGUUGAGGAGGAGGCAGGGUAUGAUUAUUUUCAUCAUGUGGUAAAUAUUACCUGGGUCAUUCAAUAUUUAAUAUUGUGAUGUUUUAUGUCACUCUUCAGUGUGACAGAGCAAUUACAGCCAUAUUAUGAUGAUAAAAUGCUCUUUUUUGGCAGAAAUGUACACAAUAUAAUAAAUGCCCUGUUUAUUCACAAAUUUAUCUCGAAAACUGUACAUACAAAUAAAAAAUAAUAAUCGUAUUUGAAUCUGAAUCAUACAUUAUAAUUCUCUACCCUUUUUUAUGUAAUAUUGCAUUUUCUUUGUCUAUUAUAAGAAGCCCUUCAUGCACAUUCAGUUCCCCCAUUUCACAAUAAAUCAAAUACCCUUAUCUAAAGAAUCUAUUCUGUUGGGAUUGGAUGUAAUAACAUGUUUUCAGAUAAAGAUGGAAGAAAGUGCUUCUUAUCCACUUGACUGUUUGGAGCUGCUCUCAUAUUUGGGUUUCUUCAGGGUGAGACAGUUCAUUGCACAUUAUUUGUAACUCAGACUUUGGCAGCUACAUUCAAUCCCAUCUGAGGUCAGCUACCCUGACUGGUGUUUUUCAUGGCUUUCCUGUUUCUCCAGAUAGUUGCUGUAACAAACCUCUCGAAGAAAGACCUAGUAGAUACAAUAACUAGUACAAUCUCCAGAGAACUGUUCCAUGGAUAAACGAUCCUGAUUUUAUGAAAUAUCCAUUGAAUAUGCCAGAGAUAUCCAGUUAUAUCCAUGAUAUAUUUGUAGUAUCAACAUUCCUAUCCUACAUUCAUCAUACAGGUAAUGUGAUAUUUCAUAACUCACUCAUAUCAAAACAUUUUGAAACAAUUGUUUACAAACAAGUCAUGAACAAAUUGUCAUAAUGACAAGCUUCAUAACUUGUACUCUUAACAACAUUAUUAUUAUUAUUAUUAUUAUUAGUUAUUAAUCCAAUUAAGACGGAUGAGAUGGACAGGCCAUGAAGCAUGGGAGAAAUUAUGAUUGCAAAAAUAACACAAAAUUUUAGUAAAAGAAACUGAUGGGACGAGACCAAGGUGUAAAUGGGAAUAUAAUAUUGAGUGCAGCCUGAAUAUGACUCAGGCUAUGAUCAAGAGAUGGACUCUUGUUAGCACAGCAAUGUGCCUGAAGAUUGCAUGCAAGGCAAGGGAUUUCUUGGCUACCUGAGGGUAUAUUAACUUCUCAAUGACUCUUCUCCAUGGUGUGGCAUUAAUUGUUUUAUGUACAAAUUUUAAUUUUUAAUUAUCAAACACUGUCAAAAUUUGUUGUAACAGAAAACCAAACCACAUAUAUUAAACAUCUGUGAACAUAAAACUUAAAUUUGCUUUGAAAUUAAGGAAUAAUGGCAAGUUUUCACACUUUUUAUAACCAUAUAAAUAUUCAUACUUAAUACUGUAAACAGAAAGAUACUUUACAUGCAGCCUGCUGUUCAAAGUAGUCACAACAGAAUACUUCUCCAUUUUUGUCUAAUUUAAUUACUGUUAUACAGAUAGGUUGUAGGUGUCCCUAACUCCUCUCUCCCCAUACUUUACCGUUUGAACAAAUGAAUUAAUUUCCAUGGAACUUGGUAUGAAUAUCAUAUCAUAUGCCAUUUGGGGCCACACAACAUUCAUGCAUUUUACUUUUCCUCUCAUUGAUGCAAUAUGGUAACCAUGCAAAUGUAUGAGUUUGGAGUGACAACAGCAUCAUUUAUUGCAGUCUUAUAAAUUUUGUCUUUUGAUCUUUGAAAAUUAUGACUUUUUUAUAUCAUUUGUAGAAUGUAAACUAAUGAGAUGUCAGUUAAGUUGAAUAUAUAUUUAGCUUGAUGGUGGCAACUAAUAUAUCACUGCCAUGAAUCAUGUGAAAUUUGGUAUGAGAUUCAAUAAUAAACAUAGUUAUAAAUUAUGAAGAUUUUUUCUAUAUAUAAAAAUUGCAGACAUAGCAACACUGUGAUGAAACUUCAGGUACUUAAAUUCUAUAACAGCAAAACUUAUAGGCAAAAAUAGGUUGCUUCGGUAAAUGUAAAGUUGUCCCUGUGCUCAAUUAAGCACCAUGCUAUACAGAUGUGUGGGGAAAUAAAGGUGUAGCUUCAUAUAUUCUUAGCCUCAAAAAUAGAUGAAGGUGAGUGGUCAGCUUCACUCACUGUCCACUUCACUCUCAGGAGGAGACCCUGGUGCCCUCUGGAGGCUAUGUUGAUACCAGAGCUGAUCUGGGUGGGGUGGCAAAGAGAAAAACCUCUGUCUCUGUCAGGAAUUAAGCCUUGUUCAUCUAGCCCAUGGCCUAUCACUACAUAGUACCCUGGCUCCUAGGUCACCAUCUCUUAUUAUUAAUUUGUAAUGUAUUUUAUGAGAUUUGAGGUUUCCACAAGAGCAAAAAUGUGAAUUGUGGUCUUCUGGGUUGUAACACCUUGUUGUCUUAUAAGUUAUCAGCUUUUAAGAGGAACAUGCUGCCUCCAUCUUCAGGGUAGAAUGCCUUAAAGAUUGCCAUUAUUUUUAGUGAUCAAAAGGAUUCCAUACAACAUGAAGCUCUGAUGUGGAGGAGCCCCUCUAAAUGGUCUGUGAAACUGCUUCAUGUGGCACUCUGAGGUAUUAGAACAUUUCACAUUAUGCAGCUCUCAGAUUAACAUAAAACUAUGUAACAGCCGUACCAAAAAUGGUAAUUUUUUAAUAUAAUUACAGUGAAGGUAUAUUAUUUGUAAACCCUGGAAUCUCUCUCCCAUGUUUGUUAUUGCUAAGGGCAACCAAAUUAUUUAACACUUCAAGCAGUGUAAACAGUAAACAGGAUCUGAUAUGAGGUAUGGGUUUAGCUAUGUGGAAAUAGAAGUGUAUUAGGUCAGAACGUGAUCAGACUUGUAAUAGUGAAAUUGUACAUAAAUAAAUAUAUGGUGGUUUA